ACGGGAGGCAGCAGUGGGGAAUAUUGGACAAUGGGGCGCAAGCCUGAUCCAGCAAUGCCGCGUGUGUGAAGAAGGCCUGCGGGUUGUAAAGCACUUUUGUUCGGGAAGAAAACGGAUCGGUUAAUACCCGGUUCGGAUGACGGUACCGAAAGAAUAAGCACCGGCUAACUUCGUGCCAGCAGCCGCGGUAAU
rnacentral:rRNA from 1 species